rnacentral:rRNA from 1 species
UACGAAGGGGGGCUAGCGUUGCUCGGAAUCACUGGGCGUAAAGGGCGCGUAGGCGGCUCAUGAAGGCUGUGGUGAAAGUCCGGGGCUCAACCUCGGAUCGGCCGUGGCGACUCGUGGGCUGGAGCACUGUAGAGGCGGGUGGAAUUCCGGGGUGUAGCGGUGGAAUGCGUAGAGAUCCGGAAGAACACCAGUGGCGAAGGCGGCCCGCUGGGCAGUGGCUGACGCUGAGGCGCGACAGCGUGGGGAGCAAACGGG